rnacentral:sRNA from 1 species
AAGACGCAGAUACUAUUUCCUUAGCUUUAAUUGUCCAAGUGCUCGGAUUUAAGUUUUGAUUGGCAACUGAGGGCAGCGGCGGAGGGCUCGCCCCAUGGUUUUCAUCAAGAUACUCAGGGUGGGUCGAGUUUUCAUUGGAGGGGUAAAGCACAGUGCAACUGUAAUCCAAAGCAACCAUGCUGACCGUGGGGCUUUGAGUUUAACUCCAGGUUGAAUGGGCAACAGCGGAAUUUUUCUAAAUAGAUGACGACAAAAAAGUUUAAAAUUUGACUUGAAGGGGGAAAAUCCCACAGAUUAAUGAGACAAUAAUCUCAGAUUAACAAGGUAGAAUCUAUACUGAGCUAUGAUAAUGCAGAUAACAUAACGAAGAAGGUAGGAGAAACAAUCGAAAAACUGAGGCGCAGGCAUUAGACAAUGCUGAAACUCGCGAGGUUAAAUUGGAUGAUUGCAAUCCAGCAAGCUUCUAACUUUACGAUGCUCUUGCAUGUGAUGUUGGAAUCGCAUCAAAAACGAGUUGGAUUCGCCAGUCCUCGUCUAGAAUUUCGGAUCGAUAUUGUUCUUGGAUUAGGGCUAACAGCCGGGUGGUCCAGAUGUUGAUAUCCGCAGGGUUAACCUCAAAAAAUGCUGAGGGCGGAGGCACAAUGCCUGAUCUGACGUAUCCAUCUGUUUUUAAUAGUUUUUUAUUUGGUAUUGACGCUUCAUCAUCUUGCUUCGUCCAGGAAAGAGCGAGUCCAUGGAGUGCAGAUGCACUUGGUAUCACCUCCAAUGGUAGCUGAUUUGUUAGUAUACGUUUACUCUUGAAGCCGAUUUGUGUUGGCCAAUUAUGAGAAAAGGCAUUUCUAUGGCGCAUCAAAUAUUCCCUAGCAUCUUCUGAACCCAUUUUGGGCGGCGAAAAUGUUAUCUCAUGCCCGAGAAAUUCCAGCUCUGGCAACUGAUUGACUAAAUGGGCUUUGGCUCUCCGGUAUCGAUUUUGAUGUGGAGAACCUUGUGAUAUUUUAGUAUUAUUGGCUCCCGCCCAUGAAUGUAAGGUCGACUUAGUUGAGACUUGCUGUUGUUGUUGCUGCUGUUGCUGUCUUUUCCUGUGGAGUUGGAUAGCGGUUUUCUUCCGGUGUUCGAAAUCUAGUGCCUCAGCUACCAUUUCGUGUGAUGAAGAAGUUGGACGAUUGUCAGUCGACCCAUGAAUCCGAUAAUCCGGAUCAUCAUCCUCCUCUUGGGAAAUCGCCAAUGGCUGACCGUGGCUCUUUGUGUUAGUAUGAGCAGAGUUC